rnacentral:rRNA from 1 species
CCUACGGGUGGCUGCAGUGAGGAAUAUUGGUCAAUGGGCGCGAGCCUGAACCAGCCAAGUCGCGUGAGGGAAGACGGUCCUAUGGAUUGUAAACCUCUUUUGUCGGGGAGCAAAAGACGCCACGCGUGGCGUUCCGAGAGUACCCGAAGAAAAAGCAUCGGCUACCUCCGUGCCAGCAGCCGCGGUAAUACGGAGGAUUCGCGCGUGAUCCGGAUUUAUUGGGCGGAAAGGGUGCGUAGGUGGUUUCUUAAGUCAGAGGUGAAAGGCUACGGCUAAACCGUAGGAAGCCGUUGAAACUGGGAAACUUGAGUGCAGGAGAGGAAGGUGGAAGUCGUAGGGUAGCGGUGAAAUGCGUAGAUAUUAGGAGGAACACCAGUUGCGAAGGCGGCUCGCUGGACUGUAACUGACACUGAGGCACGAAAGCGUGGGGAGCAAACAGGAUUAGAUACCCCAGUAGUC